UUGUUGCCGAUUUUGUUGCUUGCUGUCACAGCCCAUACGUGUGAUGUAAAUAUUGCAAUGAAAAUUGAUUUUUAGUGGACAAUUAGUAGAAAGUUUACAAUAAUUUUGUGCGCUAAACAAAGGAAAACUGUUGUUUCACAUAAUGAAGCAUCAACACCGAAUAACAUGUGUCGUUCCGGAAUGCAAAUCGUGGAGUUCCGGUUCAGCCGCAGUUUCUUUCUUCCCAGUUCCCCCAAGGCAGAGCAUAACAUUUGCCAAGUGGUCUAAGGUAAUCAAACUCUCCGGAAGGCGUGAGGAAAGGAUUUGCGAAGUGCAUUUCAGGAACAGUGAUUUCAUACGAUAUUCACGUCGAAAACUGAAACCUCGAGCAAUUCCUUCUGCUGAAAUACCGAAAUGUGCUACACGGAUCAAAUCAAAAAUUGGCUGCUGCGUAUCGGGAUGUAGUACUAAGACCCGCAAAAGACUUAUACGAUUCCCAACAUCGAAAAACCCAAAUCUUUUGAGAACAUGGAAAAAGGUAUUCCUGAUACAUGAUGAAGAUGAUACCAAUUACAGAAUUUGCGGAAAGCAUUUCAAUAAUUGUGAUUAUGUGACAGGUAAGUUUCCAUUUGCUUGUCUCACUGCAUUUAUUACAUAUGUACGUUUAUUUUUAGUGCACUCAUUGUAUCUACGGCCGAGCGCUGUCCCAUCGAUUAAAGUACAACGUCAUGUCAGCAAUCCACGUAAAAAUAACCAAAACACCAAAAAAGUUUUCAUGCAUGAUCAUACGUAUUGUCGCAGCACACGCAGAUCGGGAAGAUACCGUAUGUGCACCGUCAGUACCUGUAAAUCACGUGCCAAUGCUACGAUAACGCUGCAUAGCAUUCCAAGGAACGAUCGUUACAUCGAAUGGAAAAAAGCUCUACGAUUAAAUACCAUCUCGAAAAGUUCAAAAGUAUGCAGUGAACAUUUCACGAAGGCCGAUUACAUUCCAGGUACAUGACAAAUCAAUCUUCAUUGUUUAAAUUUACAACACUGGGAUACAUAGGGAUGGCACACAAAUUAUGUCACGCUAAAUUAAAACUUUUUUGAUUCCCCCUCCCAUCUUCACUUUUUUUGUAUGAGUCCUCCGGAA